rnacentral:rRNA from 1 species
CGGAUGCGGAGUCUCGAAAGCCUGUCCCAGUUCGGACUGGAGUCUGCAACCCGACUCCACGAAGUUGGAUUCGCUAGUAAUCGCGCAUCAGCCAUGGCGCGGUGAAUACGUUCCCGGGCCUUGUACACACCGCCCGUCAAGCCAUGGGAGCCGGGGGCGCCUGAAGUCCGGGACCGCGAGGACCGGCCUAGGGCGAAACUGGUAACUGGGGCUAAGUCGUAACAAGGUAAC